GACGAACGCUGGCUGCGUGCUUAACACAUGCAAGUCGAACGGUGACGCGCUUGCCUUUUUGUUGGGUGGUGGUGAGUGGCCGACGGGUUAGUAACACGUUAUUAACCUUCCCCCUGCUUCUGGAUAACCGCAUCAAAGGUUGGCUUAUACGCUUUUUCCUUGGUCUGUAGCAUUAUGGUUCUGGGGAAGGUUUUGUUUCGGGGGAGGUUGGGCUCGCGGACUAUCGGAUGGUUGGGGGGGUGAUGGCCUACCAAGGCGCGGACGGGUAGACGGCCGAAGAGGGUAGGCGGUCACACUGGGAAUGAGACACGGAGCAGACUCCUACGGGAGGCAGAAGUGGGGAAUAGUGUACAAUGGGCGCGAGAGUGAUGCAGCGCCGACGCGUGAGCGAUGGAGGCGUGCGGGUUGUGAAAAUCUUUCGCUAGUGAAGGAGGAAUGCAUGGUCUGUGGGUGGGUUGAAGGUAGCUGGAGAAGAAGGGCCGGCUAACUACGUG
rnacentral:rRNA from 1 species